CAGUAGCCGCGGUAAUACGGAGGGGGCUAGCGUUGCUCGGAAUUACUGGGCGUAAAGGGCGCGUAGGCGGACAGUUCAGUCGGGGGUGAAAGCCCGGGGCUCAACCUCGGAAUUGCCUUCGAUACUGGCUGUCUUGAGUAUGAGAGAGGUGUGUGGAACUCCGAGUGUAGAGGUGAAAUUCGUAGAUAUUCGGAAGAACACCAGUGGCGAAGGCGACACACUGGCUCAUUACUGACGCUGAGGCGCGAAAGCGUGGGGAGCAAACAGGAUUAGAUACCCCGGUAGUCCCUGUCUCUUAUAC
rnacentral:rRNA from 1 species